GAUAGACCAUAAACUCUGGUUUAUGACUAUUCUUUUUGAUUCAUUGCUGCCAUUCCUGAUAUACUGUUUUGGAAUCUUUACAAAUACAAAGGUAGAAUACAUGUGAAAUCUGAUGGGGUUCAUGGAUAUAAGUUUGCUAGUUUGUGAUCUGGUGUAUCUCCUUAGAUCAACCAAAACAUGUAGCUGCUAUGCUAGGACAUUUUGCAAUAGGAUUGAAUGGUUUACUUGAGCCAAAAGAACAUGCAUGGUGACUGGAACACUGGUUUGUACAUGGGGGAAUUAGCAACACUGGUAACAAGAAUAUGCCAAUUAUGUGGUGUAAUAUCUAGAAAACAUUUUAUGCAUUUUAUUUCAUCUCAAUUAUGCUUGCUUAAUUUAAUGUAUUAACAAGCAAUCGAAAUUUGGAAGGCGUGUUGUAUUUGGAUCAAGUGGACCUCAUUGUAGAGAUAUAAGUUGGUAACUUGUUACAUACAUGCAUGAAGUGAAAUUAAAAAGAUUCUACUUUUGUGUGAGUGGCAGUGCAGAUGUUUGUGAGGUAUACUUUUUUGAACCUUGCUUCUAAGGAAGGUGGAAGAGAGUUAAUAAAAGGCUAAGAAUGGUCAAUAAAGAAUAACCUACAUUCAUCACAACUUACGAACACAAAACAAGUGAUCAAAUAUGAAUUCUGUUUUUGCUGCAUAAUUGGUCUUCUGCAUAUUUAGUGCGUAUCAGACUUAUAUGAGCUGAAAUUGAUGUCUUAAAAGAUCUUUUCAUAGUGAAAAGAGAUUACUGUUGUUAGUCACUACCAAAUUGUUUGAAUUAAUUCAACAAGAUUCAUCAAAAAAUGACAUGAAAUAAGCCUACGUGCCAAAUUUAAGAGAAUUCCAAGUUUGUUUGUGCAACUAUCAUAAUUUGAGAGACCUGGAUCCUUGGAUGGAUGAUAGUAGUGCUAGUAGUGAUAGUUAUUCUACUCCACAUUAUAGUAUUGUUUUGAUGCUCCACGGUUAAUUAGCUUCUCUCUUUUAUUGUAGAAUGCCUAGGAGUCAUUAAUAUUGUUUAUUUUUGGUGGAUACCCUGCAUUGUGCGAUUUUUGCAGUGAUUUGCAUGCCUGUGUGUCAAGUUUAUAUUUGAUAUUCAAACCGCAGGUGAUUAAAUGACUAUUUUCCUGCAUCUGUAACCGGAAGCAAAUCUAGUCCAGAUCCUUCAAGUAAAUCAGAUUCUAUCAAGUUUCUUUGGUCCAAUACCAUUUAGGAAUAGCAAAAGUUUGCAAAAACAUCCCAAAGGAAACAUUACAAGGCCUAAAAGUUGAAAAUGCACAUCUGUUGGAGCUGCAUAGAAAGGUAUGAGCCCUUAUUGAAUAGACUCAUCACAGAUGUUUGAGGACUUCACUUACCCAAAUGCUGGAAAAUAUUAUCUACCAUUUCAAAGUUCAAAACCGUAGUUAAAUUUUGAAGGAGUUGGAGCUAGUGCGUGCACCUUUGCUAGUACCGAAAAAUCGAGGCGGAUUUGGAAUCUUUAAUGUGUGAAUUGUAUUAUUUUGAAUUAUCAAUAUAGUAAAGGACCGCUGUUUUUUUACCUUAUCAUGUAAAAAGCAUGCAAAGCCAUUUACAGUGCUCUUAUUCGAGGAGUAUUUUAAUUUUUUUUAUAUUUGUACGCUUGAGUUUCCAUUAAUGUUUGUUUCCAUUCAUUGAACUAUUAUGUGGAUUGUAGAAAUAGUUUAAACUA